rnacentral:rRNA from 1 species
GGGUUGUGAGGUUAAGCGACUAAGCGUACACGGUGGAUGCCCUGGCAGUCAGAGGCGAUGAAGGGCGUGCUAAUCUGCGAUAAGCGCCGGUAAGGUGAUAUGAACCGUUAUAACCGGCGAUACCCGAAUGGGGAAACCCAGUGUGAUUCGUCACACUAUCAUUAACUGAAUCCAUAGGUUAAUGAGGCGAACCGGGGGAACUGAAACAUCUAAGUACCCCGAGGAAAAGAAAUCAACCGAGAUUCCCCCAGUAGCGGCGAGCGAACGGGGAGGAGCCCAGAGCCUGAAUCAGCAUGUGUGUUAGUGGAAGCGUCUGGAAAGGCGCGCGAUACAGGGUGACAGCCCCGUACACAAAAGCGCAUGUGCUGUGAGCUCGAUGAGUAGGGCGGGACACGUGGUAUCCUGUCUGAAUAUGGGGGGACCAUCCUCCAAGGCUAAAUACUCCUGACUGACCGAUAGUGAACCAGUACCGUGAGGGAAAGGCGAAAAGAACCCCGGCGAGGGGAGUGAAAAAGAACCUGAAACCGUGUACGUACAAGCAGUGGGAGCACCCUUUGGGUGUGACUGCGUACCUUUUGUAUAAUGGGUCAGCGACUUAUAUUCUGUAGC